rnacentral:rRNA from 1 species
GAUGAACGCUGGCGGCGUGCUUAACACAUGCAAGUCGAACGGAAAGGCCCUGCUUUUGUUGGGUGCUCGAGUGGCGAACGGGUGAGUAACACGUGAGUAACCUGCCCUUGACUUUGGGAUAACUUCAGGAAACUGGGGCUAAUACCGGAUAGGAGCUCCUGCUGCAUGGUGUGGGUUGGAAUGUUUCGGCGGUGGGGGAUGGACUCGCGGUAUAUCAGCUUGUUGGUGGGGUAGUGGCUUCCCAAGGGUGCGACGGGUCGCCGGCAUGAGGGGGUGACCGCCCACAUGGGGACUACGAUACGCCCCAGAGUCCUACGGGGGGCAGUGGGGGGAAAUAUGGCACAAGGGGGGGAAGCCUGUGGAGGCAACCCGGGGUGCGGAAUGACGGCUUUGGGGUGUUAAACCGCUUUCGCCUGUGACGAAGCGUGUGUGACGGUAAUGGGUGAAGAAGCACCGGCUAACUACGUG